CAACCCUCAAGCACUGCUUGGCGUUGGCGGAUUGCGUGCCCUCGCGGCGCUGCAACCGCCCAAAUACAGUGGCGGUCCCGCUGCGGCUCCCUUUGCGUAGUAACUCACCUCGCACUGGACCGGGCGGCGGCUUGCCGUAAAACCCCAACUCAGAAA
rnacentral:misc_RNA from 1 species